UGGGGAAUAUUGGACAAUGGGCGAAAGCCUGAUCCAGCCAUGCCGCGUGUGUGAAGAAGGUCUUCGGAUUGUAAAGCACUUUAAGUUGGGAGGAAGGGCAUUAACCUAAUACGUUAGUGUUUUGACGUUACCGACAGAAUAAGCACCGGCUAACUCUGUGCCAGCAGCCGCGGUAAUACAGAGGGUGCAAGCGUUAAUCGGAAUUACUGGGCGUAAAGCGCGCGUAGGUGGUUUGUUAAGUUGGAUGUGAAAGCCACGGGCUCAACCUGGGAACUGCAUUCAAAACUGACUGACUAGAGUAUGGUAGAGGGUGGUGGAAUUUCCUGUGUAGCGGUGAAAUGCGUAGAUAUAGGAAGGAACACCAGUGGCGAAGGCGACCACCUGGACUAAUACUGACACUGAGGUGCGAAAGCGUGGGGAGCAAACA
rnacentral:rRNA from 1 species